GACGAACGCUGGCGGCGUGCUUAACACAUGCAAGUCGAACGGAAAGGCCCUGCUUGCCGGGUACUCGAGUGGCGAACGGGUGAGUAACACGUGGGUGAUCUGCCCUGCACUUCGGGAUAAGCCUGGGAAACUGGGUCUAAUACCGGAUAGGAGCCAUUUUUAUUGUGAUGGUUGGAAAGUUUUUUCGGUGUAGGAUGAGCUCGCGGCCUAUCAGCUUGUUGGUGGGGUAAUGGCCUACCAAGGCGGCGACGGGUAGCCGGCCUGAGAGGGUGGACGGCCACAUUGGGACUGAGAUACGGCCCAGACUCCGACGGGAGGCAGCAGUGGGGAAUAUUGCACAAUGGGCGCAAGCCUGAUGCAGCGACGCCGCGUGGGGGAUGACGGCCUUCGGGUUGUAAACUCCUUUCGCUAGGGACGAAGCUUUUUGUGACGGUACCUAGAUAAGAAGCACCGGCUAACUACGUG
rnacentral:rRNA from 1 species